GAAAGUUUUCCUCUGCACAGCUCACCAGAGCCCACCACCCAGGUCGCUACCCCCGACACGGCUCGACUACACAGGUAGCUGGGCAAGGCGAGGUACCGAAGUAUAGGGCAGUAGCGUUGUCAAAUGUAGCAGAAGGUCAAGGCAGGCAGCAAAGGUGCGAAGUCAAACAACGUAGUAGAAGGUCUGGAUCCACAGAGCUCGGGCGCGCGCGCGCCAUAGGAGACGGGGACGCCCCGCCGGAGCUGAGACACAGAGGAGGAGGCAGCAGCUGAACGUG